rnacentral:rRNA from 1 species
GACGUAGGGCGCGAGCGUUGUCCGGAUUAUUGGGCGUAAAGAGCUCGUAGGCGGCUUGUCGCGUCGACUGUGAAAUCCCGCGGCUCAACUGCGGGUCUGCAGUCGAUACGGGCAGGCGUAGAGUUCGGUAGGGGAGACUGGAAUUCCUGGUGUAGCGGUGAAAUGCGCAGACUAUCGAGGAGGAACCGAGCCGGUAGGGCG